rnacentral:rRNA from 1 species
UACGUAGGGGGCAAGCGUUGUCCGGAAUCAUUGGGCGUAAAGAGCGCGUAGGCGGUCCGGUAAGUCCGCUCUGAAAGUCCGGGGCUCAACCCCGGGAGGCGGGCGGAUACUGCCGGGCUAGAGUCCGGAAGAGGCGAGUGGAAUUCCUGGUGUAGCGGUGAAAUGCGUAGAUAUCUGGAGGAACACCGGUGGCGAAGGCGGCAUUCUGGACCAAUAUUGACGCUGAGGAGCGAAAGCCAGGGGAGCAAACGGG